AGAAAAGGAUAGAGAACCGGGCCCGCGGUGCGGCACCAACACUGUGCCAAGAACAAGACGACGACGGUGAAGCUCAUCACCAGAGAACCCCAUCGCGGCGGACAUACAGAACCGUGGACCUGUACCUAUAUUUUGUGGGACGGCGUGUUGGUCGUGCGUGAACGAAGCAGCGUGUUUGUGUCCGCAGCACCGCAGCAACAUACAUCCUUGUACAACAUCCUUCCGCCCCUGGUGUAGCGACGAUUAAAAAAAAGUUGGCCGGGUCUGUGCCGUACGGCCGCGUAGUUCGGCAUUCCGCGAGUUGGGUUCAAGGCUUCAACCGAAACGCCCGUGUACAGUUAGUGAUAAAGUGAGCAACAAAAUUAUCAAGUAAAAUAGUGCAUCCACCAACCAACCAACAACCAUUAAAUCCAACACCACCACCACCACCACCAUUUACUACUACUGCUAUCUUGAUCGUACACCUUACGAUUUGCUGUCCCGUUUUUUGAAUCGUUCUGGAACGUUGUGUUCUUUUGUUUUGUUUCUCCUUUCCAUUCGCCGAAAUCCGCAAACGGCAAAAUUAUCCGGCUCCAUUUUUUCGGGAAAUUCGAACCGAAAACCUAUGCGUGAUAUUCUGUAUCACGGCCGCCCCAUCUCUCCUUCACCAGCACCAGUUCCUGGUUUUUUGCGUUCCUGUUGUACAGACCUGUAUAGAAAUUGAAUCGAAAGGCUCGAUUUUAAAGAACAGUCGCAGUUGUCAAACGGAUGAAUGAAGUGAUUGGUUAUUUGUUUGUGCAACAAUUGACUUUUCCCGCAGUGCUGUACUUGUGUUUGGCGUACAUGUGUAGGACUGUAUUCGGUCGGUUCUAUUUGCUGCGAUAAUUUCGUCCAUCAUCAAAAAUCGCAACACGCGUGAGCUGUGCGACAAACGAGGCGUGUGAGGCGAGCGAUUUUUCUCACGCGGUGAGAUCUGCUGUGCUCACCUAACCAUCGUCACCAUCUCUGUUCGCUUCCUCGUUGCUGUGGAAUCAUCCCGCAUACACACACACGUACGACAUCUGUUCGGUGAGGAGCAGGAUUUCUUGGAGUGUGACGAAAUACACUACCUCCCUAUCGUGCGUGAACCUUUGGUGCGUGUGUAUCGUUUGCGAUCGCGGCGUGCAUUUUAAUUUUGUUCUGUUUUCCCUCCCUCCCUCCCUCGCGGGUGGCCGAUCCAGCUCUGGCGCUGCGUCUGGAAGUGUGGCUGUCUUUUCUUGCCGUGUGUAUGUGUGCAGGGUUGCGCAAAUAAUCGUAACCAGGAGCCGCCCAGCGCUCUCUCUCCGGCAAGUGGGAAUUCUGUAGCUGCAGCGCGGUGUAAAUAGUGAUACAGCACACGGAUAGUGUUUCUCGCAUCUUCACGCCACUCUGCGAACCGUAGCCGGUUGUGUUUGUGGAUGCGCCUGUGUAUGUUGUGUAUAUACUUCUUCUGUGCGUGCGUGCGUGUGCGUAUGCGUGCGGCGUUCUUGUUUCGGAAGAGUGAAGCCGUUUUUGUGUAUGUAUGUUUGUGUGUGUGUAUGCGUAUGUGUCUCGUCAGUCUAUUGUGAAACAAUUGUUCCGUCUCUGUCACUGGUGCCCUUGGCCAUCGCGCCUUCACCCAUGCGUUUGUUGACCGCCGACCAACACCGCCUCCGCGCAUAUUCAAAUAAGCCGAUUGCGUACUGUGUGCGUCCAUCCGCGUGCGAUUCAUGCGAUCGCGCAAAUAAUAGUUCUUGAAGCGUACGCGCGUGCUUGUGUGCCACAGGCUACAGCAUACAAGUGUGUACAUUGGUAAUAUAAAAAUAUAAA